AGUCUAUUAAUUAUCUCUCUCUAAAUUUCUAAGAGUUUACUUUAUAUUAUAUUAUUCCAUAAGAAAAAAUAGUUUGGUAUGUUUAUAUUAUUUGACCAACAUAGAGGUGUUCAUUGGGCGACUUUUUACUUUAACGGUUUGGCUUAUCGGUUAUCGGUUUUUAAAUGGAUUCAUCUGUUAGCCACCCGUUAAGAUAUCGGGCGGAUUGGUAUCUGGUUAGCUCUUAUCGGGCGGUUAAUGGGCGGUUUAUUGGUUUAAUACCUAAGGGCUCAAAUGUAUUCUGUCCGCACACUAUACUGAAAUAUCAAGCUCAUAGCUUUGACAAUUUGUUGAUC
rnacentral:lncRNA from 1 species